CGGUUGAUCCUGCCGGACCUUACUGCUAUCGGGAUAAGACUAAGACAUGCAAGUCGAGCGCCUCUAAGCUUUAGAGGCGCGGCGGACAACUCAGUAGCACGUAGUUAACCUCGCCUCGGGGCGGGGAUAACCCCGGGAAACUGGGGUUAAUACCCGUUAGAUGAAGAGUCCUGGAAUGGCUCUUCAUCGAAAGGACGUUGGAAACAUGCUUCCAACGUCGCCCGAGGAUGGGACUGCGUCCGAUCAGGUUGUUGGUGGGGUAACGGCCCACCAAGCCUAUAACCGGUACGGGCCCUGAGAGGGGGAGCCCGGAGAUGGAAUCUGAGACAAGGUUCCAGGCCCUACGGGGCGCAGCAGUCGCGAAACCUCCACAAUGCGCGAAAGCGUGAUGGGGUUAUCCCGAGUGCCGUCCGAUGAGGAUGGCUUUUCUUCGGUGUAAGCAGCCGGUGGAAUAAAGGGGGGGCAAGACUGGUGUCAGCCGCCGCGGUAAUACCAGCCCCCUGAGUGGUAAGGACGAUUAUUUGGCCUAAAGCGUCCGUAGCCGGCUUAUCAAGUCUUUUGUUAAAUCCAACGAUUCAAUCGUUGGGCUGCAAAAGAUACUGAUAGGCUAGAGGACGGGAGAGGUCGACGGUACUCCUGGGGUAGGGGUGAAAUCCUAUAAUCCUUGGAGGACCACCAGUGGCGAAGGCGGUCGACUAGAACGUGCCUGACGGUGAGGGACGAAAGCUGGGGGAGCGAACCGGAUUAGAUACCCGGGUAGUCCCAGCUGUAAACGAUGCGGGCUAGGUGUUGGGGUAGCCACGAGCUGCCCCAGUGCCGCAGAGAAGUUGUUAAGCCCGCCGCCUGGGGAGUACGGCCGCAAGGCUGAAACUUAAAGGAAUUGGCGGGGGAGCAC
rnacentral:rRNA from 1 species